UACGUAGGUGGCAAGCGUUGUCCGGAUUUACUGGGCGUAAAGGGCGCGUAGGUGGCCUUUUGAGUCAGACGUGAAAUCCCCCGGCUUAACCUGGGAACUGCGUCUGAUACUGGAAGGCUUGAGUUCGGGAGAGGGAUGUGGAAUUCCAGGCGUAGCGGUGAAAUGCGUAGAUAUCUGGAGGAACACCGGUGGCGAAGGCGGCAUCCUGGACCGAAACUGACACUGAGGCGCGAAAGCCAGGGGAGCAAACGGG
rnacentral:rRNA from 1 species